rnacentral:rRNA from 1 species
CAAGAGCGUAUAUUAAAGUUGCUGCGGUUAAAAAGCUCGUAGUUGGAUUUCAGUCUAGGAAGGUUAACUCGCCGAAAGGUUGUACGUUGAUUUUCCUCAGACUUCGUCAGAAGCUCGUGCUGCACUUAACUGUGUGGUACGAUGCUCUGACCUUUUACCUUGAGGAAAGUAGAGUGUUUCAGGCAGGCUACCCAGCUUGAAUACAUUAGUAUGGAAUAAUGAAAUGGAUCUCGGUUCGAUUUCGUUGGUUCUAGAGCUGAGGUGAUGAUCAAUAGGAACAGGCGAAGGUAUUCGUACUUGAGAGUGAGGAGUGAAAUCCGAUGAUCUCUUAAAGACGAUCCGAGGCGAAAGCAUUUGUCAAGGAUGUUUUCAUUGA